UACGUAGGGUGCGAGCGUUAAUCGGAAUUACUGGGCGUAAAGCGUGCGCAGGCGGUUCGUUAUGUCCGAUGUGAAAGCCCCGAGCUCAACUUGGGAAUGGCAUUGGAAACUGGCGGGCUGGAGUGUGGCAGAGGGGGGUGGAAUUCCACGUGUAGCAGUGAAAUGCGUAGAGAUGUGGAGGAACACCGAUGGCGAAGGCAGCCCCCUGGGCCGACACUGACGCUCAGGCACGAAAGCGUGGGGAGCAAACAGG
rnacentral:rRNA from 1 species